rnacentral:rRNA from 1 species
CACUAUCGUUAACUGAAUACAUAGGUUAACGAGGCGAACCGGGGGAACUGAAACAUCUAAGUACCCCGAGGAAAAGAAAUCAACCGAGAUUCCCCCAGUAGCGGCGAGCGAACGGGGAGCAGCCCAGAGUCUGAAUCAGCUUGUGUGUUAGUGGAACGGUCUGGAAAGUCCGACGGUACAGGGUGAUAGUCCCGUACACCAAAAUGCACAGGUUGUGAACUCGAAGAGUAGGGCGGGACACGUGGUAUCCUGUCUGAAUAUGGGGGGACCAUCCUCCAAGGCUAAAUACUCCUGACUGACCGAUAGUGAACCAGUACCGUGAGGGAAAGGCGAAAAGAACCCCGGCGAGGGGAGUGAAAAAGAACCUGAAACCGUGUACGUACAAGCAGUGGGAGCACCUUCGGGUGUGACUGCGUACCUUUUGUAUAAUGGGUCAGCGACUUAUAUUCUGUAGCAAGGUUAACCGUAUAGGGGAGCCGCAGGGAAACCGAGUCUUAACUGGGCGUUAAGUUGCAGGGUAUAGACCCGAAACCCGGUGAUCUAGCCAUGGGCAGGUUGAAGGUUGGGUAACACUAACUGGAGGACCGAACCGACUAAUGUUGAAAAAUUAGCGGAUGACUUGUGGCUGGGGGUGAAAGGCCAAUCAAACCGGGAGAUAGCUGGUUCUCCCCGAAAGCUAUUUAGGUAGCGCCUCGUGAACUCAUCUUCGGGGGUAGAGCACUGUUUCGGCUAGGGGGUCAUCCCGACUUACCAACCCGAUGCAAACUACGAAUACCGAAGAAUGUUAUCACGGGAGACACACGGCGGGUGCUAACGUCCGUCGUGAAGAGGGAAACAACCCAGACCGCCAGCUAAGGUCCCAAAGUCAUGGUUAAGUGGGAAACGAUGUGGGAAGGCACAGACAGCCAGGAUGUUGGCUUAGAAGCAGCCAUCAUUUAAAGAAAGCGUAAUAGCUCACUGGUCGAGUCGGCCUGCGCGGAAGAUGUAACGGGGCUAAACCAUGCACCGAAGCUGCGGCAGCGACACUAUGUGUUGUUGGGUAGGGGAGCGUUCUGUAAGCCUGCGAAGGUGUGCUGUGAGGCAUGCUGGAGGUAUCAGAAGUGCGAAUGCUGACAUAAGUAACGAUAAAGCGGGUGAAAAGCCCGCUCGCCGGAAGACCAAGGGUUCCUGUCCAACGUUAAUCGGGGCAGGGUGAGUCGACCCCUAAGGCGAGGCCGAAAGGCGUAGUCGAUGGGAAACAGGUUAAUAUUCCUGUACUUGGUGUUACUGCGAAGGGGGGACGGAGAAGGCUAUGUUAGCCGGGCGACGGUUGUCCCGGUUUAAGCAUGUAGGCUGAUUGUCCAGGCAAAUCCGGAUAAUCAAGGCUGAGGUGUGAUGACGAGGCACUACGGUGCUGAAGUAACAAAUGCCCUGCUUCCAGGAAAAGCCUCUAAGCAUCAGGUAACAUUAAAUCGUACCCCAAACCGACACAGGUGGUCAGGUAGAGAAUACCAAGGCGCUUGAGAGAACUCGGGUGAAGGAACUAGGCAAAAUGGUGCCGUAACUUCGGGAGAAGGCACGCUGGUGUGUAGGUGAAGUCCCUGCGGAUGGAGCUGAGACCAGUCGAAGAUACCAGCUGGCUGCAACUGUUUAUUAAAAACACAGCACUGUGCAAACACGAAAGUGGACGUAUACGGUGUGACGCCUGCCCGGUGCCGGAAGGUUAAUUGAUGGGGUUAUCCGUAAGGAGAAGCUCUUGAUCGAAGCCCCGGUAAACGGCGGCCGUAACUAUAACGGUCCUAAGGUAGCGAAAUUCCUUGUCGGGUAAGUUCCGACCUGCACGAAUGGCGUAAUGAUGGCCAGGCUGUCUCCACCCGAGACUCAGUGAAAUUGAACUCGCUGUGAAGAUGCAGUGUACCCGCGGCAAGACGGAAAGACCCCGUGAACCUUUACUAUAGCUUGACACUGAACAUUGAGCCUUGAUGUGUAGGAUAGGUGGGAGGCUUUGAAGCGUGGACGCCAGUCUGCGUGGAGCCAACCUUGAAAUACCACCCUUUAAUGUUUGAUGUUCUAACGUUGGCCCCUGACCGGGGUUGCGGACAGUGUCUGGUGGGUAGUUUGACUGGGGCGGUCUCCUCCCAAAGCGUAACGGAGGAGCACGAAGGUUAGCUAAUCCUGGUCGGACAUCAGGAGGUUAGUGCAAUGGCAUAAGCUAGCUUGACUGCGAGCGUGACGGCGCGAGCAGGUGCGAAAGCAGGUCAUAGUGAUCCGGUGGUUCUGAAUGGAAGGGCCAUCGCUCAACGGAUAAAAGGUACUCCGGGGAUAACAGGCUGAUACCGCCCAAGAGUUCAUAUCGACGGCGGUGUUUGGCACCUCGAUGUCGGCUCAUCACAUCCUGGGGCUGAAGUAGGUCCCAAGGGUAUGGCUGUUCGCCAUUUAAAGUGGUACGCGAGCUGGGUUUAGAACGUCGUGAGACAGUUCGGUCCCUAUCUGCCGUGGGCGCUGGAGAAUUGAGGGGGGCUGCUCCUAGUACGAGAGGACCGGAGUGGACGCAUCACUGGUGUUCGGGUUGUCAUGCCAAUGGCACUGCCCGGUAGCUAAAUGCGGAAGAGAUAAGUGCUGAAAGCAUCUAAGCACGAAACUUGCCCCGAGAUGAGUUCUCCCUGAGACUUUAAGUCUCCUGAAGGAACGUUAAAGACGAUGACGUUGAUAGGCCGGGUGUGUAAGCGCAGCGAUGCGUUGAGCUAACCGGUACUAAUGAACCGUGAGGCUUAACCUU